UUCCUUUCCCAAAGAAAAGAAAACAGCAUUUCAGGUUAGCCUGACACGAAGAAACAACUUCUGGCUCAGAAAAUCCACAGAGCAGACUCCUGCAAGCUGGAUAGCUUUGCUAAUAGUGCCCUUCCUGGCAGUAGCUCCUGUGGCCCAAGUGUCACCCCUCCACCUGCACAGGCACUUCAGGGUCCUCCCAGUGACCAGAACACCAGGGCUACUCCCAUACCUUGUUUUGUUGCGUUAGCUGAUCACCCCAAGCCUCUCUCACGUGCUUCCUGUGCAGCUUUGGCUCCACCUGGAGAUGCAACAGAUGCAAGCAGCAGGGAUAUCAGUGCCAGAGGUUCUGUCCCCGAGGAUCUUCCAGGCUCUCCAGAGCACCACCUUGCCCUGAAAUCCCAGUAGGAUCUGCCUCUGCUCAGGAGGGCUCAUCUGAGUGUCUAGGUGCCCACCAGGUCCUGAGCUGAGGGUCAUUAUCACAUGGGAAACACCAUGGUGACAGUGACAGGACUGCAAUUUUGGAGCAGAACAUGGGUGGAAUAAAGAAUGACGAAGCACCACAGCACGUCAGAACUUGGGGCAUUUGCUGUGAUGCGAGGUGCGUGACAACAGCAGAGAUACGAUGACUUUCAAGUUGAAAACUGGUUUAAUAAAUAUAAAGCAGGGACUCAAGAGGAAGCAA